rnacentral:rRNA from 1 species
UACGUAGGGUGCGAGCGUUCAUCGGAAUUACUGGGCGUAAAUCGUGCGUAGGCGGUUCGUUAUGUCUGCUGUGAAAGCCCCGGGCUUAACCUGGGGAUGGCAGUGGAAACUGGCGGGCUUGAGUGUGGCAGAGGGGGGUGGAAUUCCGCGUGUAGCAGUGAAAUGCGUAGAGAUGCGGAGGAACACCGAUGGCGAAGGCAGCCCCCUGGGCUGACACUGACGCUGAGGCACGAAAGCGUGGGGAGCAAACAGG